rnacentral:lncRNA from 1 species
AUCUAAUCUACUACAUUUUAUAGUAAAAUUAACAUAGUUCUAAUUACACACCAUAAGUUCUGUCUAUCCUUCUCAACAAAAUCUUUUUUUUUUUUUUGAAACAGGGUCUUACUUCGUUACCCAGGCUAGAGUGCAGUGGUACAAUAAUAGCUCACUGCAGCCUUGAACUCCUGGGCACAAGUAAUCCUCCUGCCUCAGCCAUGCAAGUAAGUACCUAGAACUACAGAUGUGCACUGCCGUGUCUGGCUAAUUUUUAAUUUUUUUUUUUCUAGAGACAGGGUCUUGCUAUGUUGCCCAGGCUGAUCUAAAACUCCUGGCCUCAAGCUGUCCUCCCUUCUCAGUCUCCCAAAGUGUUAGAAACACAGGCAUGAGCCGUUGUGUCUAGCUAACAACUUUUUUUGUUGACCCUAAUUAAACAUAUUAAAUGUUUUAUGCCAAGAGGAAAUAGAUGUAUUAGAGUUCAGAAUGUAACAUUUGUGUACAAUUUUUAAGGAAAAAAAUAAGAUCAAGACAUUUAAAGUUUGCCUGGGACACUUAGGGUGAUGCCUUUAGUCUUCUGGGGAUGAUUAGGUCCCUCAGUUCUGAAUUAGGACUGCUUUGAUGGAAAAGGUUAGAACUACCUGUUUAAGUUGUCAGAUUUGUAACUCUGUGUUUUCGUUUUGCUUAAUGGAGCUAUUGUAACGUUUUUAUUCAGGAUGGAAUAGGAACUGGCCAUGAGUUAGUCUCUGAAUCAUUAGGCUUUUCUGGUUAAAGAAUUAAUUAAAAGGAUUUAUGGUAUAUCUUAUGACUCUACAGAAGCCUUGGGAUAUAGAUAGAAAUGAAUGCCAUUUCCCAUCCAGUACUGAAGUGUUAAAGUUGGAAGACAUUUGCUAAGUCAAAUCACUUCAGGUGUGUUGAAGAAAGUACACACAUCUCAUCUUCUGAACAUUUUGAUGGAAUUAACCACAAACCUCAUGCAAGAACAGUAAAAGGUAUUUUGUUAAAUAAUUUUUGCAUAUUGAUGUAGUGCUCUUAAUUUCUAGAUUUUCCUCACAAAGGCCUACCUUAA